GGGGUCUCAUGGGGACUAUUUUCAAAGCCUACAGAAAGCAUGUCUGCUUUCCACGAGUGUUUUUCAUCAGAUCGUCGUCAAACUAUUGCUAGAAUAAUACAUUAGCUCGCUCUUGAAAUCCCAAAAUAACAUCCACUAUAGCGUGUUGAAGGAGUAACAGAGAUGAGACUUGCGGCUGACCAUUUCAUUAAGCCUGGGAAGUCAUAGCAACUGAAAGGUUUAAGUGCAAGCAGUGGGUGGAAAUAUAAGAUGGGAAGAUACGGACAGAAGACAGACUAGUGCUGGUGCUGGCAAGCUUUUUUUCCUUUGCUUAUUUCAUAGAGAUAGAUAGUUAUUGUGCUGCUGGAAACAUAAUGAUUUGUAAUGAGAUAUAAAAAAAAUGAUGGACUGAUAUGGACUGAUGCACAAAAGAACACGAAGAAAGAUAUAUUAAGAAUCUACAUAAGUUUAUUUCUAAUUCUUCGUGUGUGUGUGUGUGUGUGUGUGUGUGUGUGUGCCCUUACAUACAUUACAUCUUUGCAGUCACUUCAGAAAAGAUAACACUUGGUUAUUUAUUCCAGCUCAGACAGUGGCAGACUAUCACACGAGAACGAAAUACGAGACAAUAUACUCUUCAUCCACCAUCUUUUUUUCACCCUUCCUCUUGAUAAGGACACAGUGAAGGCGCAUCCAGGCUAGGCGAGCAUCAUGGCACUGGGUCAAGGCUCUCGCAAGAUCGGGGACCCCUGCUGGAGUCACAUACAGUGCAGAAGAUCCGAUGAGAACUCCUUCUGCGCCUUCCUCGUAUGCAAGUGUAAAACAGAUUUCCAUGUCAUUAACGGGAACUGCUCAAGAAACUACUGGGAGGAUCUCGGACUGCAGAACUGGCAGCUGCUGGUGAUCGCCCUCAUCAGCACCCUGUUCUUCCUGUCGGUGUUCAUUGGCUGCAUAUACUACGUCAUCCUUACGAUCAUCAGGAGGCUCAGAAAAACGCGGCCGUCAGGAGACCCGGUGCCCACUGAGAGCUUCGUGGAUAAAGGCGCCAGUGAGAAGCGAAGGAGCCUGGCAGGGGAAGGAGUGCUCGGCGUCAAACAGGCGAAGAAACACUCCUUCAAGAGAAAGUCACAGAGGUUGGAGAGAACAAGGGCACAACUGAGGCGUGAGAUGAACGUGCUGAGGGACAAGGAGGAGGAAGAGGGGGAGGAGGGGAGGAGAGGCGUGUCAGUGGUGGUGGAGGAGAGGAAGAGAGGCACGUCAACAGUGGUGGAGGAGGGGAGGAGAGGCACGUCAACGGUGGAGGAGGAGAGGAGAAGGGGCACGUCAAUGGUGGUUGAUGAGAGGAAGAGAGGCACGUCGAUGCUGGUGGAGACGGAUGACGACGAGGUUCCUUCCACUUCCAUCAGACCGUUGACAAAGUUUAUCCUGCCCCUGCACUACAGCAAUGGCCACGGUUACGAAGACGGAGCGGGUGGCCAGCGGCACAACCUGAGGCGUACAGGUAGCUUCGGAUCGUGGUCCCUCUCGUCGUGGGAGAUGGAGCCCCUCGAGGCGGGCCUGGACUGGUGGCCUGCCAGGCGACAGUUUCGUCGACCCGCUCACCAAGGGCAGUGUGUCUUAACCACAAUGGAAGGAGCUUGAAGUUGGUAAGGAUGGAAUCGAGUCACGUCCUGCAAUACUGGAAGGCGGGCUAGGGCCUGGGGCGGUGGGCGGCGGGCGGCGGGCAGUGGAUGCAGCCCGGCAAUUGCAUCCUCGUUACGGCAGCUGCAGAGAGUCAACCAAGACAAUACGACCACUGCUGCUCGACAGUGCCGCCUCGGACAGUGAAGAGGACGAGUGAUGGCUUCACUUGAAUACAAAAGAUCACAAUUUAUAAUGCCGCGUGAAUGGAAGAGACGACACAUGGAGUUUGUGAAGUUCUCCAGAAUGUUUGAACGACUCUAAUAAUAGUUAAAAAUAAAAAUGAUUGUUUCAAAAAGAAAACACUCUAUAACAACCUGGCUUACCUCCGUGGUCUUUUGAAAGUAGUCCUCAUGAUUCUAUGCAGUAAUAGUUUAACACGAACUCUGAGCUAUCACGAGGAAAAACAACCAUGAGCACCUGACCAGGGAUGGGGUGAAUACAAGAACUGUGUAUUCGAAUACGAAUACGAAUACUUUAUAUUUAUACAAAUACGAAUACGAAUACACUGAAAUACUGAUAAUUUGAAUACAAAUACGAAUACCCCAUGAGAGUAAUCGUGAAUACAUUCAUGAAUACUUUUCGUUGAAAGUAACUUUUUCAUGUAGGCAGCUCGGCAAUGAGGCUAAUAUGGUACUAAAGUUAUUCAAUAGUAAAAUGACGUCAUGAGCUUAUAACUGAUGCCAGUAUUCUGUACAUGUUUAUCACACCUACACAUAUUUGUUUUCUAAAAUUUUCAAGUAUAUAUCUAACCUGUACUGAAAGAAACACAACAA